UACAGAGGGUGCGAGCGUUGUCCGGAAUUACUGGGCGUAAAGCGUGCGCAGGCGGUGAUGUAAGACAGUUGUGAAAUCCCCGGGCUCAACCUGGGAACUGCAUCUGUGACUGCAUUGCUGGAGUGCGGCAGAGGGGGAUGGAAUUCCGCGUGUAGCAGUGAAAUGCGUAGAUAUGCGGAGGAACACCGAUGGCGAAGGCAAUCCCCUGGGCCUGCACUGACGCUCAUGCACGAAAGCGUGGGGAGCAAACAGG
rnacentral:rRNA from 1 species